GCGCCGGGCGCGCGGUCGCUCCGCCCCUUCUCGAGGGAGCCCCGCCCCCCGUCGAGGUCCCUCGGGGCGAGGGUGGCGCCUACGCUCUCCGAGGCUGGAAGUCCAAAAUCAAGGUAUCAGCAAGUCCGUGUUCCUUCUGAAACCUGUAGAUUAUGAAAGAAACGACUCUACCUUGUUACUUUUGAUAGGAAACUGUAAACUCUAGAGUGUUCUCUUAUCCUGUACACUCAUCUGAUCUGUGUCCAUGACUCCUGAUUAAAAAUACAACUUUCACUUGACUUUACAGGCCUGCACAGGAUCAGUUUCCUAAUGUAUUCCACGUGUGCUUGGGAAGAAUGUAGAUUCCGGUCAGAGACCGGGUUCUCUGCAGCUCCAUUUCACAAGCCUGUUUGCUGAAUUGUUUGAGUCUACCGUAUGCUUGCUGCAUCGUAUCCUUCAUCUGUCGAUAAAUUGAGAGGAGAAGGUGAGAUCUCCCAUUAUAAUAGUGUAGUCUUGGGGUGCCUGGGCUGCUCAGUUGGUUAAGCAGCCGGCUCGAUUUCGGCUCAGGUCAUGAUCUCAGGGUUGGGGGAUCGAGCCCUGGGUUGGGCUCUGUGCUACCAUGGAGUUUGCUUUAGAUUCUCUCCCUCUCCCAUUGCCCCUCCCCCCUCACUCUCUAAAAUCAAUCAAUCAAUCAAUCAAUCUUUAAAUAAUAAUAAUGUAGCCUUCCAAACUUGUAGUUCUGCCAAUUUUUACUUAUCAAUUUUUAAAAUGAUAUAUAGGAGUAGCUGCGUACAAAUUUAGAAUUUUGCCCUUCUGCUAAGGCUUUUUAACAUUAGAAAAUAGAUCUUCCUUUGUUUUUACUAGUGCUUUUUACUUUGUUUUGUUGAUCCUUUUGUUGUCAACCAUUGGGCCCUAUGCUUUGUUAGCUUUGUCCCCCCACCCCCACCGCCCAAAGAGGCAUAUUGUUUUUUAAAGAGCAUGUGGCAUAUUUCCAUCAUCAUUCUCCUUUUUGUUUAGUUCAUUUGAUUACAUUUAUAAUUACUAGUAAUCUUUCAUACUGUAUUUGUACUGCUUUUAAAAAUAGUUUAUUUCUCCUUUAUCCCUUUAGAUCAAGUUUUUAAAAGCAUUUUUUCCUCCACGAACUAGUUUGAUAUAACCUUCUAUUUGUGUGUUUUGAUGUAUUUAACUUACACUAAAAAUAAUCUAUUCUUUGUUCUCUUCCUAGACAACCUACAACACUUCCUUGUUUGAUGUAUUAUAUAAUGUCCAGUAUUUUAAUUUUUUAUUGCUAUUCAAAUGAGAUGUUAGGGUUUUUUUCAAAGAUUUUAUUUAUUUGGAGAGAGAGCACAAGCAGUGGUGGAGUAGCAGGCAGAGGCAGCAGCAGGCUCCCCACUGAGUGAGGAGCCCGAUGUGGGGCUCCAUCCCAGGACCCUGGGAUCAUGACCUGAACAGAAGGCAGACACUUAACCCACUCAGCCCUCCAGGCCUCCCAAGAUGUUACUUUUUAUACAAUCAGUAUUUGUUUUUAAUUUAGUCACAUUCACUUAGUUCUUUGUCCAGGAUUCCUUCAUGCGUCUCGGACUUUUACAGGUAGGAUUGUUUUCCUUCUUUCUGGAAUACUUCCUUUGGAGUUUCUUUAGUUACAGAGAUCUGGCAGUAAUGAACCCGUUUUGUUUGUCAGCAUGCUUCCACAACUGUGGAAUUUUCUGACCCUCCAACUAUGACUACAGAUCAGAGGCAUCCUAAGUCACCACCCACCCGCAGGUGCCCCGUGCCUCAGAGCUGCAGAAGCCUGCGUGCAAGGUCGGCUCUGCUGCGCACUUUCUUGGGUUCUCCUCCCGGCAAACAUGAGGCCAUGGUGUAUGUCUAGGGAGGAGACCCCAGAUGAACAUACCACUCAUUAAGGACACAUGACUGUUCUGUGUACAGCAAAGAAAUCUAGAAGUGUGGAACGUGUACAGAAAGUGAUGCAGAUACAGCACUUAAAACCGAGGGAAUUCAUGCUUUAAUAGACACUGAAAUCACAAAGGAAGGCCAAGUGCCUUAACAAUCUCAAUAAAAAUAUGAAGUUCUUUUUACAUGGUAAAUUUCGUAAUAUAAAAAGUUUAAUGCCAUCUGGAAACUGUAAUUUACAAAAAAUGUCCACAUAGGCCAAAGAUGGCUAACACUGCAUACAAGGGGGGUGAGUGCCAAGUGGGGAAGGCGUCUGAGGAGGGAGAGGUAACCGCAUGUGUCCUUACAUGGAACAUCUUUGAAAGAUCCGUUACAAACGGGGGCCCAGUUCACAAACCACAUGUGUUACAGUCAUUUUAGAUAAAACAACAAAAUAUAUGAUGAAAAUUAUGCAAUUUUCACCCUCUGCCUACUUACUAAAAGCAACCAGAGUGUUGCGUGGUAUUUUUUCCAAACUGAACUGAAACCAGCAAAGUGACCGUGGGAGGCGGUGGGACAGGCGCCUUACUGGGGACUUGCUCCAGUGACCACCUGCUGAGAUUCACUGGAACAGCAUACGCGGAUGAGGACAGUGUGUGCAGCACCUUGUCUCCUGCUGAGACCCAGCGAGUAUCAGGGUGGACCAUGACAUUUUUCAAACAGGAUGGAGGUGAGAAUAUUUUCCUUUCACUACACACUAAUGUUCAAACUGUAAGUUUUGCAGCUUUGUUUUGGUACUUUGAUUUAGUUAAAAUCAGUGAAGCAGUCGAGCAGUUCACUGGUGAGAAUUAGGAUAGGAUCUACUACCUUGCUUUGUGGUCAUACCACGGUUUCUAGGAGAGGGAGAUUUUAUUGCUUGUGAUCAGUGUACUUGCAUCUGAUGGAGUAGAAUAGGGCAGGGCAUUCCAGUUUCCUGAGCUGAAAAAGAAAUAUGUCCAAUGCUAUCUGCAUAUAGUGAGGAAAAGGGUUUUGUCUUCUUUUUUUUCUUUUUUCUUUUUUUUUUUUUUUUUGUAAAUUUUACCCACAUUCAUGGCUCAUUCCAAGUGGAGCAAAGAGCCACGGACUAUGCAGGAGUUAUUUGCUUCUAUCCACAUGGCUCAGGGGUUCCAUGCAUGCCAAUUUUAUCCACAACUUGACACUCACUUUCCCUAGACUGUAGACACAAAACAUUCUAAUUGUGUUGUCCGUCCCCUACACCAGGAGUCAGCAAACUUUUUCUUAAAAGGUCAGGUAUUAGGUAAUUUAGGCUUGGUGGGCCAAGAGGCAAAAUCAAGAGUAUGAUGCAGGUACUUACAUAACUUUUUAAACCUGUAAAAUCCAUUCCUAUCUCAUGGCUAUAAAAAACCAGGCCUCUGACCGGAUUUAGCCCGUGGGUCAUGGUCUGCCAACCCCCAAUCUACACAAAGGUAUCUGUGACUUACACAGUCUCACAUAAUUAUUAAGUGCAUAUUUUUUUUUCAGGGGUUGGAGCCGGAAAAAUUUACUUUGAUUUUACAUCUAUUUCACUCAUCAAGAAAACACCAAGACUGACAGUAAACAUAAAGAGGUGGCAACUCUACAGUGAUUUGAGAUUGGUCCUAUUAUUUUGUCAUGUUUGCUUUCUUUCAUUGAACCUUCUUUUCUAUCUAGGACAAAAAACAAAAACAAAAACACACCAUUUGGUUUUUCAACAUGAAACCUAAAACAACAAUGUAAUCAGGACUAAAACCAAGUUGGGGUCGACUGAGACCUCCUCGCUGGCUCGGUUAAUGCUCACCCCUACCUAGGCGAUCUUUUGUCUCGGCCUAGCUGGCAACAACUCAGGAAGCCGGCACGCUGGAGGGGACGCCCAGCCUUGUCUAGGACAGCACUUUCAGGAACGGCUGUUUCCCUGCUCAUCAAUGACUGGGAUGUGAAUCCCAGCAUAAGGCCCCCUGCUUCUCAGGCUGCGCACAGGACAGGGUGCUGUGGGACGGGAGCGGGCUGGUCCCGGCUCAGCCUUCGGCCAGCAGAUUAUAAGAAAAGAAAGAAAAAAGAGAGAGAAAGAAGAGAGUUUAGACUCAAGCACAGGUUGUUAUGCAACAUGAGCUGAUCGCUGCUUUAGGAAGCGCCACAGCAGGCCCGCGGCGGCUCUGACCGGGAGGGGAGAGGAGCGAGAGUCAGCAGGGACGCACAGGAGAACAAACAGCCACGCAGGCCAGACACGGUCGGGGCAGCCAGGCCCUGCCCUUCCCGGCCAGGAGAGGAGCAGGGCAGCCGGACGCAAGUGGGGAGGGGGCGCAGCGGGCACGGACGGCCGCUCCAGACACCGAGGGCCGUGGUUCCUGAGCGACUCCACAAACAGCCACCACCUGCCGGCCACGGGGGCAGCCCGGGACCCUGGCCGGCGGCCCAGCGGGAUCACAGGCGGGAAAUCCCUGUGAUGCCACCAAAUGCAAGACAUUAAGCAGCUGGCUUCUGGGACUCAGCCUUGCCCUGCAAAUGUAAUUCUGACUUUCUCUUUAGUGGAGCACAGGCUUCCAGCCCUCUUGGGCUCAGGACGUUUUGAUUCUAGAAGUGCCUUCCUGGUUUUCCUCAACAAGAAGACAAACAGCUUAUUGCAAAAUGAACAGCAACUCAAGAAGGGUCCAUGUCCUUGAACUGGGCUCCCAAUCUGAGCUGGAAACCCCCUCGGGGGGUGGGAGCCCGAGGCACCAAUCAGAUUUUCAGAGGCUGAUCCCAGACAGAGCAGCUUUAUUUCCACACAGAAAUAGUUCCGUUUAAAAUGAAAUCUGUGGGCAACCCCAGUGGCUCAGCGGUUUAGCGCCGCCUUCAGCCCAGGGUGUGAUUCUGGGGACCCGGGAUCGAGUCCCACAUGGGGCUCCCUGCAUGGAGUCUGCUUUUCCCUCUGCCUGUGUCUCUGCCUCUCUCUCUCCUCCCCCGCUCAUGAAUAAAUAAAAUCUUUAAAAAAUAAAUAAAAUGAAAUCUGAUAAAUAAUAAUGAUAUAUGUUGUUUUUUCAAGUUAUUACACUACCAGCCGACCAGAGAAAACUAUUCUGUGCUCUUUAGGGGUUGCUAUGCCAUUGAGAAGCCCUCCCCCACACUGUGGUCACCCCGGGGUUCACAGUCCAGACCCUCACUGGCCGGUAGGAAGAGUAGGAGCUCUGAGGCCGAGUUGGGAAGGGCCUGUGCGAUGCUGAGAGUUAGCAUCGUCCUGAUGCCCGGAUUAGAUCUCCGUUCCCCUAACCUGCUAAGCAGUAUCUUGCAUUAGAGUGACUUUGUGUUCACUGCUGUGCCUCAGUGGCAGGGCUCAUACUCUGAUCUAGGAUAAGUAUCAAGACACCUGCUGGCUCAGGAAGUGUGGCUGUAACACUUGGCAAUCAGCAGAAAGAGUUGGAGGUGGGGUGGUGACAAGGUACAGGAGGCCACUGAAUGGAGAGGUCAGGAAAUGCCCUGAGACUGUAGGUCACAGGGGCCCCUGAAGCAUCCUCUGAAGGCCCUGCUGCUCUUGGAACCCACUUCCCAGAGACAGACGAGAGGCUUUUGCCCCCGGGUGUGCAUGUGCCUGGCAGGGGGCGGGGCAGGGGGCUGUUUCACCCCCCAGCCCUUAUCUUUCCCUUCUAGUCACAGAGGCUGAAAAAUGUAACAAGACCAAGUCACUUGCAGGUUCCCAUGUAGGGCCAAUUCACCCUGUCCUUCCAGCUCAGCCCAGCCCUCGGGCCUGGGCUCAGCCACCCUGGCUCAACUCACCCGGCUGAUGAGCUGCUCGCCAGUCUCCGAGGCAGUGAUGAGCUUGCAGAGGGCUUGGAGGGCAGGGUUGGGCAGACCUAAAUGGAAAAGGAGGACGGUGUUACCCACAGCCCGGCUGCCUUCCCGGGCACCGAGCCUGAGACACUCCACAUCGGUGGCAUUACAGAAGCUCGGGACAGCCAGGUGUGUGGGUCUGUGUCUAACUGGAGAAAAGAGAGAAGGGCCUUGGAGAAAGGCCAGUCGUCCCGGUGUGUGGUCACAGUCCCAGGACCCGGCUCUGCCCCAGGCAGAAGCACCUCUGAAUGAAGCACAAAAGGCAGCCGUGGCACCUGCAGCCUGCGUCACCCCGGUCUUUGGCCAUGGCUCUGGCAGAUCCGAGGCUGCCAAUUAAACACGAAGGCAGCCACUGUUUGCCCAGCGUUCCUUCCUGUCGGCCCGGGAAGAGGCGGCGCCGGGCCAGCGCCCUGCUGGGGCAGAGUGCACCCUGUGUUCCAGGUCUCCAGAUCCACAGAGGCCUGCCUCUGCGACUCCUUGCCACCUCAGGAUGCCCGCUCCUUCCCACCGUGAGGUCCAACACCCCUCGUGAGGCAGGGCCCACAGCCACCAACUACUGUGCCCACGCUGGGAGCCAGCCCCUCGGUGGCCCAGCCCAGCCUGAGGCUCACCCAGCAGGGACUGGAUGGUGCUGCUGCACUGCUGGAGCCGGUCACCCGGGUCGGAGGUUGGGAAGAAGACGGCCGCCGGCAGGCCACUGGCAGGGGGGUCCAGCCGGAAGCCCACGGCAGUGAGGAGGGCCUGCCAGCCAGGGAUGCCGCCCACUUUGUUCUCCACACUCUGCUGGGACGUGUACAUGGCAUUGCGCUGCCCAUUCUGGAUGCGCUGCAGGGACUUCUCCACCUGGAAGGGAAGCGGGAAUGAAGCGCCACUCCGGUCACGGGCAGGCCCUGGCUUCUCUCCCAGUGGCUUGGGGGGGCACCCGAAGCCUCAGGUUUGAGGCCAGUGCAGGGCUGCCUGCUGCCACCUGGACACCCCGGCCUGAGGACCAAGGCACGGUGGCAACAGCCUAGCCCGAGAGGGAAGGUCCAAAGGGAAAGGGGUUACUUUCCAGCGUCAGCAAGGCUGGGAGACAGAGAAUUCUGUCCCUGCCCUAGGCCACACCUCCUGCUCCGGGCUCUCCUCCACAGACGCCACAGCCCACUCUCAGGCCAGUGCCUGCCCCAGGCCACGUAAAGACCCCCACCACCAGGAUAAACCUUCAGGCCCUCGGGAACCCCCUUCACAGCCCAUAGCCCUUGCCUGCGCCAAGCAGCACCCACCACAGGGUUCUGAUUGCCACUGCCCUUCUUCCCUGCACUUCAGGCUCACCCUCCAUCCCACAGCAGGGGCCCCUGGGCCUCAAGUACCCCUCCCACCUGCCAGGGCCUAAACCCACGCCUGGCACACGUGGGCUGAAUUUGUCCAAGUAACUGCUAGUCAACUCCCCGGUGAGCAUCCCAUGGUACUUGCAAUGGCAUCGGCCUCCCUGGCAGUUUCUCUCCCCCUCGGGGAAAUCGCAGGCCGUCCUGAACUACCGCAUGCCCUGGGGCACGUGUGCCAUCAUGAGAGGGGCAGAAGAGUCGUCCAAGAGGUCACCCAAGACUUUCCUUCUACCACCCUGGGAUGCUGGGGGCUGACCUCACAGGUUGGAGGACACGAGUGUUCCUGGGCAGGACAGACAACCAGGCCAUCGGGCUGGAAGGUCUUUGGAGACACAUUGCCCACUGGGGUCAAGGGCAAUGGAGGUAAGGGCUUGUAAACCUGACCCAUGGCCCCUGGACUCACCCCAGGAAAUGAAGCCAAGAAGAGACAACCUCUAAACAUGCCUGAGGGGCCUCAAGGCCGAGUGGGGAGCCAAGGCCUGGCUCUUGCUCCACGACCCGGUCUGGGAGAAGACAGCCACGUGGGUAGAGACGGUGGUUCAGUUACCUAAGAGAAGCCGCCUGGGAGCCGCAGCAAGGAAGGAGGGGACUCUGCGGUGAUGGGGACCGGAAGGGGUCCUAAUGCUGAGCAGCUGAAUCGCUCUGCACAGUUUCCAGGAACAGGUUAAAAUCAGUCAAGAGUCUUCACAGAGUCUCAAGGCAAGUGAGCACAGCUCCCGGGGGCAGGAGGAGCGGGCUAUCUCAAAGCUGGCUCGAGAGCUGCCUGGGGUAUCCGGUGACAUCAUUCCUACCUGGUCACACGCUGGUAUCAGGUGAGCCCUAACUUAAGGGAUGUACAGGACUGACCUCCCACCAGAAGUACCCUGAGCACCACCACCCUGGGCCCCAGACCCACAGGGCAGUAAGUUUGCCCAGCAGAGGGGACGUGCUCCCUGGAACCCAGCCCCCAAACUAAACUCCCCAGCCGUAGCCUCCAGCCCGCUCCCAGGGCCUGUGCCUCUCUGUCCUUUGGGGUGGCAGUGGGGCAGCUGUGUGCAUCGGGUCUGGAAGGAGCAUGUCCACCCACACGGCUGGGGCUGGGCUGGUCUUUCUUGCUCAGAACUCCACGGAAGCUAACAAUUCGCAACGUUAGAAAGUGCCUUCCUGGUUAUCAAAGUGGAAGGGUGGAACUAGUUCUAGGUCACCGCUGCUUAGCUUGAUUUCUCACUUUUCAAUGUGUGGACGAUGACGCAGAGCCUCUGUCUGUACCCUCACCCCUGACCCCACAGAGGCUGGGACUGGGUAAAUACAGGGUCAGUGCCUGGACUCUUCCUCCAAAUUGAGGGGAAGGCCAGUGCCAUGUGACUCCAGAAUAUCAUCUCUCAGCCGCUAGGACCCUACUUCUGCCUGCUUCUCACCUUUUCUCUAAGCCUCAAGAUAACCAGGAAACAUCCCCCUUCCAGAUGAGGAAAUUGAAGCUCAGAGAUGCGGGUGAUUUGCCCAAAUCUUCACAGCCCAGAAAGAGCUGCAGCGUGGGCCCCAGGACCUUGGCAAGGAGGCUGCAGCAUCCCCAUGACACAUCAUGCCCACCAUUCAACCGACUGGCUCAACCUGUGGAUGUCCUAGCACAAGGUCCCCUCCACCUGGCUCAUGUCCCUGGUGAUUGGGACAGGCCGCAGCCUCCCUUCUCGUGCCCCUCCGCCGGCUCUCCAGGGCAGCGGGGCCCCAGGAGCCUGGGGGAGGGCCCUUACCAGGUGCAGCAGCACUCGCAGGGCGUCCCGGGCGCGCUCUGGGUGCUGGAGGAUCUCCGUGAGGGCCUGGCCGAUGAGCGACGAGGGACUAUUCAGUUUAACGUCACUCCCGAUGAGUGUGAACCCUGUGGAGGACACAGAAGGGCAUCUCAGAGCCCG